CUGGAAGUGUAUUAGUUGUAAGAGGGAGAGACCAGCGUGUGAUUAUGUGCCAUAAAGUUCAUUAAAGUUUCUGUCUUAUGAUCAAAUUGUUCAAUUGUUUUGUUCGUCACUUCAGCUGAACCCAGGGACACCUAGACUUCUACGCGAUACUUCGUGCUUCAGUCACUCAUCAUCACCCCACCAAACAAAGGCGGUUCGCAUCACGGCCAAAACUACCGCACUAUCAGCCUCAUAAGCCAUCCCAGAAAACUGAACACAUCCUAAGCCUCAAGAUACUCCAAAAAAAACAACAAAAGCCCUGCACUUUUGAAUCUGAACUUAAUCUGGUGGAAAACAAGAGCACAGAUAAGAGACAAAAAGGUCUAAAUAACAACGAUAGGAGAUUAUUUCGACCAGAUAUCAUCAAGAUUAGUCUGAAUUCAGUUGGUUUUAUUCUCGUUAAUGUCCAGGGUCUAGCCAAACAUGUGUACUUUAACUAAUAAUACUAUGCAUUAAGUUGAGUGCAAUAUUUCACAUGAACACCCAAACCCAUAGUUUGCCGGAUCAAAUGCAUGCAAACCGUAGUUUUCUAUUCGUCUAUUUGUCUUUGGCAAGGGAUUUUCUUCGGGUCUCAAAUAUGUGUCCUACAUCCUUCUGGAGAGCUCUCUUGCUGUCUCUUUCAGAGGCUGUGUAUCGCAAGUUGCCUUAUCUCUGUCAGUAAGGGCAAAACGACGCCUAAGUUUAUCUUUAUAGAAAAUACGAAAAACAUGCAUAUAUGUAACCCUGCCGGACCAAGUAAAACAAAGGACGUUUGGGCCAGGAGGCCUUCAUCAGCUACAAAACAAACAAAAAAUAAAAAACAAUUAACACAAAAUAGUCUUAAGUUAACUUAUCUGUCAGUUGUUGUUCUCUAUCGAGGCCUCGAUUUUUGUUUGUUUUUUAGCUGAUGAAGACCUCGUGGCCCAAACGUUCUUUGUUUUACUUGGUCCGGUAGGGUUACAUGUAUGCAUGUUUUUCGUAUUUUCUAUACAGUCGUUUACCCCUGCAGCAGUAAAUCUUUUUUUUUUUUUAGUCUUUAAAGUUUAUCUUUAUAAGGCUUUCUCGGGCACUUCUCUUACGCAGUACUUCUUUAAGUUCCCCAGAAAAGAGUAAUUUUUGUUUGCGUUUAUCUCCAGUACGGUGUAGUUGUUCAACCCAGAGCAGCUGUCGAACUGUAGUGCUUCUGUACUAUCCACACCGGCCCAAGCAGAAUAGGGUUAUUUGUAAGAUAUGCCGAAUAUGGAUAGAAGGCACUUCUGAUGAAAGCGUUUGUGGAAAAUCCUGUAUAGCACACGGGUCUCAGAGCCAUACAGACGUAUGGUGAGAACCACUGAGACAUUGAUUUUAGUUGUAGGCACAAAAUCAUAGUACACUGUACUCUCAUAUGGAGGCGACCAAGGCCGCUGUUGGUCUCACCCAAACGGUUGUCUUAAUUCUCUAGACAGUAAAGUAUUUUUGGAAAAAGUGGUCCACAUUUUAUUGUACAUUAAUUUGUUACUUCCGUUUGAGCUCUCUUUUCAAAAGCCGCCUUCUGCCAAAUAAUCACGUGGGCACAAAUUGGUGCAUGCCGUCCUGAUUGGGUGAAUGGCAUUACUUGAGUCGAAAAAUUAAUAAAAACAUAAUCAUGGUAAUCAGCUAAACAAAAUAAGAACACAAAAUACAUUGAAUAUUAGGGUUUAAUGAAGCUGAUUACUUCUCCUAAGGACAUUUACUUUGCUCUAAACAUUUAAUGUUUGAUAGAUAAAAAAGCUCUGAUUUGGUAGAGUUUAGUAUGACUCGGAAUAGAUGAGUCGAGAAGAAUGGGGCAUGGGACACAACACAAAAUAUUAGUGCAUAGGAAAUCAGUAGUUAUCUCCCAUUAGAUACGUACACAGACACCCUUAUCUCCUGUUGCAUCUUUUAAGAUGUUUUGAAAUUAUUUCGGUAAUAACAAUUAACAACAAAUACACUUAUCUGAUAUGUAGGUCUAUGUACAACUUGACGUGUUAGACAUAGUUCAAAGACAAUAAAUUAUAGAACAAUUAUAAAUUAUAGCUUUUAUAUAGUGAUACUUUCAUGCUUAUAUAAAGCCUGCUAAGAGCGCUUUGGUCCAAUCUCAUUUGUGGAGCUGUGGAGGGAGGGGGAUAUCUGGGAGAAGGUUUUUCCGUGCUGCCUUUUAGGCGCUAGUAAACACAACUCUGCUCGUGUGCCAAGCCAAGUUCAAGCGUACUUAGCCUCUCGACCACGCUUCCCACAAUACAUUCCGAAUGAAUCUCUUGCGUUUUUUUAAUCAAUCAAACAAUAAUAUAAAACUGAAAAGGCAAUUAACUUUGGCUAGGCCAAUAUUAAGAAAUACGUCCUAUAUUUUGGACCAUUUAAUUAUCUAAAAAAAAAAACAUAAUGAAACUAAAAAAAAAACAACAACGUGAAAUAGUUUUAGAAGAAUCGAAAAGUCAACAUUGAGAAUAGUAACACUACAAUUUAAAAUAAAUCAUAAAAUUUAAACAAAUUUCAGGAUAUGAAAAAGGAAAGUAGCAAACACUAGCAAUCACACCUAAAAUAAUACUAAGAAAUACAGAAACACAAUUUAAUAAAACACCUGUAGCGAGGUGGCUGAGUGGGAAAGCGUUUGACAUCCUAUUUGAGAGGUCUCGGGUUCGAAUCCUGGUAAAGACUGGGAUUUUUUUUUUAUAGAUCACCUCUGAGUCCUGUUCUUAAUGGGUACCUGAAAUUAGUUGGGAGAAAGUAAAUUGCUGUACACAUAACAUCCUCGCUAACUGUUGGCCACAGAAAUAGAUAGCCUUUGUUGCAUCAUCUGCCUUAUAGAUUGCAAGGUCUGAAAUGGAAACAGUUUUUCUAUUAAUAUAAUACUAAGGAAGACAAACACACACAAAAAAAGACAAAUUUCUUUUUGUGUAUGCUAGGACAAAUUUAUACAAGUGAUCCUUCUUUAGCGCUAUUUUUGCAUGGAAUGGGUAGCAAUAAUUAGCCAAAAAAAAAACCCAAUGAAUUAUUAUAGUUUUCUAAGUGACAUUCACGGCUAGAUUCAAAUAUUAAUUCGCUUAGGACGUAAUUGUGUUCUCUGUUUCAAGGCACGCCUGUAAUUGUUGAGAUAAGACACAAGUACAGUAGACCUUAGCAGAUUUUGUUCAAAGUCUCUCUCUACGACAUCCUGUAGACGUACGAUUUGAACCAUUAAUUACAUUCGCAUAAUGAAUUCUUUCGCUACUGGUUUCCAGAUAGACUGUCGUACAUGUGCGUGUUCUCCGUCUUACGAAAGUAUGUAUACUAUGAAACAGCAUAAUACAUUUACCUUAAUAAACUAUGUAUAGUUUAAAAAGAUACUUUUUUUUUUCAUUUAGGAAA